rnacentral:rRNA from 1 species
GAUCAUGGCUCAGGAUGAACGCUGGCGGCGUGCCUAAUACAUGCAAGUCGAGCGAGGUAGCUGCUACCUAGCGGCGAACGGGUGAGUAACACGUAGGUAACCUGCCUUGAGACUGGGAUACCCGGACGAAAGUUCGGCUAAUACCGGAUAACAACGGAGAUGGCAUCUUCUCCGCUUGAAAGGUGCGUUUGCACCACUCUUAGAUGGACCUGCGGCACAUUAGCUAGUUGGUGAGAUAACAGCCCACCAAGGCGAGGAUGUGUAGCCGACCUGAGAGGGUGACCGGCUACAAUGGGACUGAGACACGGCCCAUACUCCUACGGGAGGCAGCAGUAGGGAGUUUUCGGCAAUGGGCGAAAGCCUGACCGAGCAACGCCGCGUGAGUGAAUGAAGGUCUUCGGAUUGUAAAGCUCUGUUACGAGGGACGAAACGUACGAUCAGGAAAUGGGUCGUAUUUGACUAUACCUCGCCAGAAAGUGACGGCUAACUACGUGCCAGCCGCGGC